AAUGGGUCAUUGUGGUAUUCAGGGGUUUGAUAUGCAGGCUGUUGUUAUUCAUCUGCACAUCCCCGCAGGCGUGAACAUCUUUGCCAUUCAAUGGAAUAUCCAGCUUGAGAUGACCUUUGGUCAGGCCUUUGACCUGGAGCUGUUCCAGUGCCGCUCCCAGCGACGAUUUGAGCGGCGUGUGCUGGAAGUACUCACCGAUUUGCUGCCCGUCACCGCUGAUAUCGCCAUUAAUAAUCAGCUUUUCCUUCAGAUAAUCCGGGAUGACAGCGCUGACAUUGCGGGCAUCGACUUCACCCAGUUUCGCCAGUGGCGCAUUCAUCCAAAGGCCGUCAUUCAGGAAGUUAAGAUCGAUAUCAAGAUUGCUGAGAUCGGGCCAGCCCGGCUGGAACGCAUAGGUUGCCUGGCGUAACGGCACC
rnacentral:ncRNA from 1 species